UACAGAGGAUGCAAGCGUUAUCCGGAAUGAUUGGGCGUAAAGCGUCUGUAGGUGGCUUUUUAAGUCCGCCGUCAAAUCCCAGGGCUCAACUCUGGACAGGCGGUGGAAACUACCAAGCUGGAGUACGGUAGGGGCAGAGGGAAUUUCCGGUGGAGCGGUGAAAUGCGUAGAGAUCGGAAGAACACCGGUGGCGAAGGCGGUCUGCUGGGCAGUUGCUGACACUGAGGCGCGACAGCGUGGGGAGCAAACAGG
rnacentral:rRNA from 1 species